ACAGUGGACGCGAGCAUCUUUGUGUCAAGUUUUUAAGGGCACAUGGUGGAUGCCUUGGCAUCAGAAACCGAUGAAGGACGUGAGAAUCUGCGAUAAGCCUCGGGUAGUCGAUAACUAGACGUUGAUCCGAGGAUUUCCGAAUGGGGUAACCCGGCUGGAGGCAAGUCCAGUCACCGCUACCUGAAUAUAUAGGGUAGAGGGAGGGAACGUGGGGAAGUGAAACAUCUCAGUACCCACAGGAAGAGAAAACAAUUGUGAUUCCGUGAGUAGUGGCGAGCGAAAGCGGAUGAGGCUAAACCGGUCACGUGUGAUACCUGGUAGGGGUUGCGUGGUCGGGGUUGUGGGAGCGAUCGUCCGAGGUCUACCAGCCUCGGGGGCAGUGAGAAAUGUUGGUGGUAGUCGAACGGUCUUGAAGGGCCGGGCAGAGAGGGUGCGACCCCCGUAGACGAAACUGCUGGCACUGUUUGUGUUGUUUCCCGAGUAGCACGGGGCCCGUGAAAUCUCGUGUGAAUCUGCCGGGACCACCCGGUAAGCCUAAAUAUUCUCUGAUGACCGAUAGCGGACAAGUACCGUGAGGGAAAGGUGAAAAGUACCCCGGGAGGGGAGUGAAAUAGUUCCUGAAACCAUGUGCCUACAAUCCGUAGGAGCCCUUCGGGGUGACUGCGUGCCUUUUGAAGAAUGAGCCUGCGAGUUAGUGCUCAGUGGCAAGGUUAACCCGUGUGGGGAAGCCGUAGCGAAAGCGAGUCCGAAGAGGGCGUCAUAGUCGCUGGGUCUAGACCCGAAGCGGAGUGAUCUACCCAUGGCCAGGUUGAAGCGCCGGUAAGACGGCGUGGAGGACCGAACCCACUUAGGUUGAAAACUGAGGGGAUGAGCUGUGGGUAGGGGUGAAAGGCCAAUCAAACUCCGUGAUAGCUGGUUCUCCCCGAAAUGCAUUUAGGUGCAGCGUCACGUGUUUCUUGCCAGAGGUAGAGCUACUGGAUAGCUAAUGGGCCCCACCGGGUUACUGACGUUAGCCAAACUCCGAAUGCUGGUAAGUGAAGCGUGGCAGUGAGACUGCGGGGGAUAAGCUUCGUAGUCGAGAGGGAAACAGCCCAGAUCACCAACUAAGGUCCCUAAGCGUGUGCUAAGUGGGAAAGGAUGUGGAGUUGCUGUGACAACCAGGAGGUUGGCUUAGAAGCAGCCACCCUUUAAAGAGUGCGUAACAGCUCACUGGUCAAGUGAUUCCGCGCCGACAAUGUAGCGGGGCUCAAGCACACCACCGAAGUUGUGGCAACGAAAGUUGGGUAGGGGAGCGUCGUGUAGCGAGUGAAGCGGCGGAGUGAUCCAGUCGUGGAUGCUGCACGAGUGAGAAUGCAGGCAUGAGUAGCGAAAGACGGGUGAGAAACCCGUCCACCGAAUAACCAAGGGUUCCAGGGUCAAGCUAAUCUGCCCUGGGUAAGUCGGGACCUAAGGCGAGGCCGACAGGCGUAGUCGAUGGACAUCCGGUUGAUAUUCCGGAACCGGCGAAGGACCGCCCCUGGCGAGGCUGUGGAUGCUAACCGUGUGAUCACUGCUGAUCGGCACUUUGUGUUGUGAUGAUGGUGUGAGCCCGGGACCCGAGACAGUAGUAGCCAAGCGAUGGAGAGACGCAAGAAGGUAGCUGCUGCGUGGCGAUGGUUGUCCACGUCCAAGGGUGUAGGGUGAUGUAUAGGUAAAUCCGUGCAUCGUGUGCCUGAGACCUGAUGGUGACCGCGUAUGCGGGAAGUCAGUGAUCCUAUGUUGCCGAGAAAAUCUUCUAGCGAGGUUCUAGCCGCCCGUACCCCAAACCGACUCAGGUGGUUAGGUAGAGAAUACCAAGGUGAUCGAGUGAAUCGUGGUUAAGGAAUUCGGCAAAAUACCCCCGUAACUUCGGGAGAAGGGGGGCCUGAUCCGUGAAACCACUUGCUGGUGGCAGCGGUGAUGGCCGCAGAGACCAGGGAGAAGCGACUGUUUACUAAAAACACAGGUCCGUGCGAAGUCGCAAGACGAUGUAUACGGACUGACGCCUGCCCGGUGCUGGAAGGUUAAGGGGACGAGUCAACCCUUUUGGGUGCAGCUCUGAACUUAAGCCCCAGUAAACGGCGGUGGUAACUAUAACCAUCCUAAGGUAGCGAAAUUCCUUGUCGGGUAAGUUCCGACCUGCACGAAUGGCGUAACGACUUCUCCACUGUCUCAACCGCGAACUCGGCGAAAUUGCACUACGAGUAAAGAUGCUCGUUACGCGCAGCAGGACGGAAAGACCCCGGGACCUUUACUACAGCUUGGUAUUGGUAUUCGGUGCGGCUUGUGUAGGAUAGGUGGGAGACUGUGAAGCGCACGCGCCAGCGUGUGUGGAGUCAUCGUUGAAAUACCACUCUGGUCGCUCUGGGUAUCUAACUUCGGUCCGUGAUCCGGAUCAGGGACAGUGUCUGGUGGGUAGUUUAACUGGGGCGGUUGCCUCCUAAAGGGUAACGGAGGCGCUCAAAGGUUCCCUCAGCCUGGUUGGUAACCAGGUUUCGAGUGUAAGUGCACAAGGGAGCUUGACUGUGAGACGUACAGGUCGAGCAGGGACGAAAGUCGGAACUAGUGACCCGACGGUGGAUUGUGGAAUCGCCGUCGCUCAACGGAUAAAAGGUACCCCGGGGAUAACAGGCUGAUCCUGCCCAAGAGCUCAUAUCGACGGCAUGGUUUGGCACCUCGAUGUCGGCUCGUCGCAUCCUGGGGCUGGAGUAGGUCCCAAGGGUUGGGCUGUUCGCCCAUUAAAGCGGUACGCGAGCUGGGUUUAGAACGUCGUGAGACAGUUCGGUCCCUAUCCGCUGCGCGCGUAGGAAACUUGAGAAGGGCUGUCCCUAGUACGAGAGGACCGGGAUGGACGAACCUCUGGUGUGUCAGUUGUUCUGCCAAGGGCACCGCUGAUUAGCUACGUUCGGAAGUGAUAACCGCUGAAAGCAUCUAAGCGGGAAGCACGCUUCAAGAUGAGGUUUCCAUGCCCCUUGUGGGUGAGAGGCUCCCAGCUAGACUACUGGGUUGAUAGGCCGGAUGUGGAAGCACAGUAAUGUGUGGAGCUGACCGGUACUAAUAAGCCGAUGACUUGCUACAA
rnacentral:rRNA from 1 species